CGAGCGCAGGCGGUUUUUUAAGUCUGAUGUGAAAGCCUUCGGCUUAACCGGAGAAGUGCAUCGGAAACUGGGAGACUUGAGUGCAGAAGAGGACAGUGGAACUCCAUGUGUAGCGGUGGAAUGCGUAGAUAUAUGGAAGAACACCAGUGGCGAAGGCGGCUGUCUAGUCUGUAACUGACGCUGAGGCUCGAAAGCAUGGGUAGCGAACAGGAUUAGAUACCCUGGUAGUCCAUGCCGUAAACGAUGAGUGCUAAGUGUUGGAGGGUUUCCGCCCUUCAGUGCUGCAGCUAACGCAUUAAGCACUCCGCCUGGGGAGUACGACCGCAAGGUUGAAACUCAAAGGAAUUGACGGGGGCCCGCACAAGCGGUGGAGCAUGUGGUUUAAUUCGAAGCUACGCGAAGAACCUUACCAGGUCUUGACAUCUUCUGCCAAUCUUAGAGAUAAGACGUUCCCUUCGGGGACAGAAUGACAGGUGGUGCAUGGUUGUCGUCAGCUCGUGUCGUGAGAUGUUGGGUUAAGUCCCGCAACGAGCGCAACCCUUAUUAUCAGUUGCCAGCAUUCAGUUGGGCACUCUGGUGAGACUGCCGGUGACAAACCGGAGGAAGGUGGGGAUGACGUCAAAUCAUCAUGCCCCUUAUGACCUGGGCUACACACGUGCUACAAUGGACGGUACAACGAGUUGCGAAGUCGUGAGGCUAAGCUAAUCUCUUAAAGCCGUUCUCAGUUCGGAUUGUAGGCUGCAACUCGCCUACAUGAAGUUGGAAUCGCUAGUAAUCGCGGAUCAGCAUGCCGCGGUGAA
rnacentral:rRNA from 1 species